CCGAAAGGCGUAGUCGAUGGAUAACCGGUUGAUAUUCCGGUACCCGCUGUGAAGCGUCAAACAUUGAAUCCAGUGAUGCUAAGCCCGUGAAGCCGUUCCGGACCCUUCGGGGAAUGGAAAGUGGUGGAGCCGGUGGCCCGAGCUGGUAGUAGGUGAGUGAUGGGGUGACGCAGAAAGGUAGUCCAUCCCGGGCGGUGGUUGUCCCGGGGUAAGGGUGUAGGCCGUGCGAUAGGUAAAUCCGUCGUACAUGUGGCUGAGACCUGAUGCCGAGCCGAUUGUGGUGAAGUGGAUGAUCCUAUGCUGUCGAGAAAAGCCUCUAGCGAGUUUCAUGGCGGCCCGUACCCCAAACCAACACAGG
rnacentral:rRNA from 1 species